UCUCACAGCUUAACUGUGAAACUGCCAUUGAUACUGCAGGUCUUGAGUAAGGUAGAAGUGGCUGGAAUAAGUAGUGUAGCGGUGAAAUGCAUAGAUAUUACUUAGAACACCAAUUGCGAAGGCAGGUCACUAUGUCUUAACUGACGCUGAUGGACGAAAGCGUGGGGAGCGAACAGGAUUAGAUACCCUGGUAGUCCACGCCGUAAACGAUGCUAACUCGUUUUUGGGUUUUUAAGAUUCAGAGACUAAGCGAAAGUGAUAAGUUAGCCACCUGGGGA
rnacentral:rRNA from 1 species